rnacentral:rRNA from 1 species
AAUUUUCGGCAAUGGGGGGAACCCUGACCGAGCGAUGCCGCGUGAGUGAUGAAGGUCUUCGGACUGUAAAACUCUGUUAUUAGGGAAGAAUACUAUAGGGAGGAAAUGCCUUAUAGAUGACGGUACCUAAUGAGGAAGCCCCGGCCAACUAUGUGCCAGCAGCCGCGGUAAUACAUAGGGGGCGAGCGUUAUCCGGAAUUACUGGGCGUAAAGGGUGCGUAGGCGGUUUCUUAAGUCUAGUGUGAAAGCCCACGGCUUAACCGUGGAGGGUCAUUAGAAACUGGGAGACUUGAGUACAGCAGAGGUAAGUGGAAUUUCUAGUGGAGCGGUGAAAUGCGUAGAUAUUUGAAGGAACACCAGUGGCGAAGGCGGCUUACUGGGCUGGAACUGACGCUGAGGCACGAAAGCGUGGGGAGCAAACAGG